rnacentral:rRNA from 1 species
AGAUUGAACGCUGGCGGCAGGCCUAACACAUGCAAGUCGAGCGGCAGCACGGGUACUUGUACCUGGUGGCGAGCGGCGGACGGGUGAGUAAUGCCUAGGAAUCUGCCUGGUAGUGGGGGGAUAACGCUCGGAAACGGACGCUAAUACCGCAUACGUCCUACGGGAGAAAGCAGGGGACCUUCGGGCCUUGCGCUAUCAGAUGAGCCUAGGUCGGAUUAGCUAGUUGGUGAGGUAAUGGCUCACCGAAGGCGACGAUCCGUAACUGGUCUGAGAGGAUGAUCAGUCACACUGGACUGAGACACGGUCCAGACUCCGUACGGGAGCAGCGAGUGGGAAUGUAGGACAAGUGGGACGAAAGCCGUGACU